CCAUAAGGCGCCCUAGGGCCUACCGGGACUGGGGGCUGCCCGGGGCGGGGCGCGCUGUCCGGCCCGGGCCCACUGGCGGGGGGAGGGGUGACCCGGGGGUGGGGCCGUGGGCCAGGCCCCGUUAGCGGCGGGAAGGAAAGUUUCCAACUCAGCGGGAUGGAAGGGGCCCCGGGCCGUGAAGUUACCUGCGGGUCCCGGACGGGAAGAAGGCACCAGUGGAUCCUGAGCCCGGAGCCGCCUCAGCUGCUUUGUCUCUGCGCCGCGCCCGUCCCGACUGGAGAGGAGGAAAUGGGCUCUUCCGGGCACCUCCCCCUACGGCCUAGCCGGCUCUUCCGGGCACCUCCCCCUACAGCUCCGCCGGCUCUUCCCGGGGCCGCCCGCCCUGCGCAGAUGCCCAUGGCAGCCAUGCUGUGGGGCCAGGAAGCAUCACAGCGGAGGCACCUAUCCAUGCUCUGCAAGGAUGAAGGUAGGUUUCCCCUUAGAUCAUGGACCACCCCCCACCCCCCGGAUAUUAAUAAGUCCCUGGCCCUAGAAGAGAUAAUGCACUGGACAGAGUUUUCAGAUUUUCUCCCCUCUCAUGGGUUUAACCAAGAGAGGGGGGAGCAUUUAGUCCCAGGACAAAGAAAGGAGCAUAGGCCAUCAUUCCAGAGUCCUCAAUGAAAAUAAAUCCCAUGCACCAAGGAACCA
rnacentral:lncRNA from 1 species